rnacentral:rRNA from 1 species
AUUGAACGCUGGCGGCAUGCUUUACACAUGCAAGUCGAACGGUAACAGGCCGCAAGGUUCUGACGAGUGGCGAACGGGUGAGUAAUGCAUCGGAACGUGCCCAGUCGUGGGGGAUAACUACUCGACAGAGUAGCUAAUACCGCAUACGAUCUAUGGAUGGAAGCGGGGGACCGUAAGGCCUCGCGCGAUUGGAGCGGCCGAUGUCAGAUUAGGUAGUUGGUGGGGUAAAGGCUCACCAAGCCAACGAUCUGUAGCUGGUCUGAGAGGACGACCAGCCACACGGGGACUGAGACACGGCCCAGGCGCCUACGGGAGGCAGCAGUGGGGAAUGUUGGACAAUGGGCGCAAGCCUGAUCCAGCAAUGCCGCGUGCAGGAAGAAGGCCUUCGGGUUGUAAACUGCUUUUGUACGGAACGAAACGGCUCUGGUUAAUACCCGGGGCUAAUGACGGUACCGUAAGAAUAAGCACCGGCUAACUACGUG